rnacentral:rRNA from 1 species
UACGGGGGAGCAAGCGUUGUUCGGAUUUACUGGGCGUAAAGGGCGCGUAGGCGGCCACCGCAAGUCAGUUGUGAAAUCUCUGGGCUUAACCCAGAAAGGUCAACUGAUACUGCGGGGCUAGAGUGCAGAAGGGGCAACUGGAAUUCUCGGUGUAGCGGUGAAAUGCGUAGAUAUCGAGAGGAACACCUGCGGCGAAGGCGGGUUGCUGGGCUGACACUGACGCUGAGGCGCGAAAGCUAGGGGAGCGAACGGG